GCCUUGGUGGUGAAAUGGUAGACAUGCGAGACUCAAAAUCUUAUGCUAAAAAGUGUGGAGGUUCAAGUCCUUAUCAAGAUA
rnacentral:tRNA from 1 species